UACGUAGGGGGCGAGCGUUGUCCGGAUUUAUUGGGCGUAAAGAGCGUGUAGGCGGCCAGGUAGGUCCGUUGUGAAAACUCGAGGCUACAACCUCGAGACGUCGGCGGAAACCCUCUGGCUAGAGUGCGGUAGAGGGUAGUGGAAUUCCCGGUGUAGCAGUGAAAUGCGUAGAGAUCGGGAGGAACAUCUGUGGCGAAGGCGGUUGCCUGGGGCUUUGCUGACGCUGAUGCGCGAAAGCGUGGGGAGCGAACAGG
rnacentral:rRNA from 1 species